rnacentral:rRNA from 1 species
GACGAACGCUGGCGGCGUGCUUAACACAUGCAAGUCGAACGGAAAGGCCCUGCUUUUGUGGGGUGCUCGAGUGGCGAACGGGUGAGUAACACGUGAGUAACCUGCCCUUGACUUUGGGAUAACUUCAGGAAACUGGGGCUAAUACCGGAUAGGAGCUCCUGCUGCAUGGUGGGGGUUGGAAAGUUUCGGCGGUUGGGGAUGGACUCGCGGCUUAUCAGCUUGUUGGUGGGGUAGUGGCUUACCAAGGCUUUGACGGGUAGCCGGCCUGUGAGGGUGACCGGCCACAUUGGGACUGAGAUACGGACCAGAGUCCUACGGGAGGCAGCAGUGGGGAAUAUUGCACAAUGGGCGGAAGCCUGAGGCAGCAACGCCGCGUGCGGGAUGACGGCCUUCGGGUUGUAAACCGCUUUCGCCUGUGACGAAGCGUGAGUGACGGUAAUGGGUAAAGAAGCACCGGCUAACUACGUG